rnacentral:rRNA from 1 species
CCUACGGGAGGCAGCAGUGGGGAAUAUUGCACAAUGGGGGAAACCCUGAUGCAGCGACGCCGCGUGAGUGAAGAAGUAUCUCGGUAUGUAAAGCUCUAUCAGCAGGGAAGAAAAUGACGGUACCUGAUUAAGAAGCCCCGGCUAACUACGUGCCAGCAGCCGCGGUAAGACGUAGGGGGCAAGCGUUAUCCGGAUUUACUGGGUGUAAAGGGAGCGUAGACGGCAGGACAAGUCUGGAGUGAAAUGCCGGGGCUUAACCCCGGAACUGCAUUGGAAACUGUGCAGCUAGAGUGCAGGAGAGGUAAGUGGAAUUCCUGGUGUAGCGGUGAAAUGCGUAGAUAUUAGGAGGAACACCAGUGGCGAAGGCGGCUUACUGGACUGUAACUGACGUUGAGGCUCGAAAGCGUGGGGAGCAAACAGGAUUAGAUACCCGGGUAGUC